UCAAUCCAGCAUACUACAUAGUAGAAUGACAGUCGAGCGAAUGGAUUAAGAGCUUGCUCUUAUGAAGUUAGCGGCGGACGGGUGAGUAACACGUGGGUAACCUGCCCAUAAGACUGGGAUAACUCCGGGAAACCGGGGCUAAUACCGGAUAACAUUUUGAACCGCAUGGUUCGAAAUUGAAAGGCGGCUUCGGCUGUCACUUAUGGAUGGACCCGCGUCGCAUUAGCUAGUUGGUGAGGUAACGGCUCACCAAGGCAACGAUGCGUAGCCGACCUGAGAGGGUGAUCGGCCACACUGGGACUGAGACACGGCCCAGACUCCUACGGGAGGCAGCAGUAGGGAAUCUUCCGCAAUGGACGAAAGUCUGACGGAGCAACGCCGCGUGAGUGAUGAAGGCUUUCGGGUCGUAAAACUCUGUUGUUAGGGAAGAACAAGUGCUAGUUGAAUAAGCUGGCACCUUGACGGUACCUAACCAGAAAGCCACGGCUAACUACGUGCCAGCAGCCGCGGUAAUACGUAGGUGGCAAGCGUUAUCCGGAAUUAUUGGGCGUAAAGCGCGCGCAGGUGGUUUCUUAAGUCUGAUGUGAAAGCCCACGGCUCAACCGUGGAGGGUCAUUGGAAACUGGGAGACUUGAGUGCAGAAGAGGAAAGUGGAAUUCCAUGUGUAGCGGUGAAAUGCGUAGAGAUAUGGAGGAACACCAGUGGCGAAGGCGACUUUCUGGUCUGUAACUGACACUGAGGCGCGAAAGCGUGGGGGAGCAAACAGGAUUAGAUACCCUGGUAGUCCACGCCGUAAACGAUGAGUGCUAAGUGUUAGAGGGUUUCCGCCCUUUAGUGCUGAAGUUAACGCAUUAAGCACUCCGCCUGGGGAGUACGGCCGCAAGGCUGAAACUCAAAAGGAAAUUGACGGGGGCCCGCACAAGCGGUGGGAGCAUGUGGUUUAUUUCGAAGCAACGCGAAGAACCUUACCAAGGUCUUGACAUCCUCUGACAACCCUAAGAGAUAGGGCUUCUCCUUUCGGGAGCAGAUGAACAGGUGGUGCAUGGUUGGCCGUCAGCUCGUGUCGGGGAUAUGUAGGGGUAGUCCCGACACGAGCGCAUCCCUUGGAUCUGUUGCAUCAUAAGUUUGGCACUCUUAAGGUACUGCUGGUGACAACGAGAGGUGGAUGACUCAAUACUCAUUACCCCUUAGACCUUGGACUCACCCAGU
rnacentral:rRNA from 1 species